rnacentral:lncRNA from 1 species
CCUCUACUUCCGUGGUCCGGCCCAGAGUCCGGGUAGCUUCACGUUCCUGGCGUCUCGGGGGCCGAUUUGUCUCGGGGGCUGAUUUGCUUGGAACAGUUAGACCUUAGUGCACGGAUUGCGGUGACCUGGGGCGGGGCGGGUGGAGGUGCAUCUGCUAGGCCGAGAUCCUCAGCACGUGAGCUGCCCGAAACUGGAGACGACCAGGCGCCGGCAUCUUUGGUCUAUUGCGGAAAGAACGACCUCGUCCCAGCAAAGCUGAUGGAAGGAUCUGUGCUUUCAUCUAGGGAGGAGCAGGUGGGAGAGACCAAGGAACAGAGAAUGAAGGUGAGGUUUGCUGCCCAUGCU